GACGUAGGGCGCGAGCGUUGUCCGGAUUUAUUGGGCGUAAAGAGCUCGUAGGCGGUUUGUCGCGUCUGCUGUGAAAACUCGGGGCUUAACUCCGGGCCUGCAGUGGGUACGGGCAGACUAGAGUUCGGUAGGGGAGACGUGGAAUUCCUGGUGUAGCGGUGAAAUGCGCAGAUAUCAGGAGGAACACCGAUGGCGAAGGCAGGUCUCUGGGCUGUAACUGACGCUGAGGAGCGAAAGCAUGGGGAGCGAACAGG
rnacentral:rRNA from 1 species